CCUACGGGAGGCAGCAGUAGGGAAUCUUUCACAAUGGGCGAAAGCCUGAUGGAGCAACGCCGCGUGCAGGAUGAAGGCCUUCGGGUUGUAAACUGCUUUUAUAAGCGAGAAAUAUGAUGGUAACUUAUGAAUAAGGAUCGGCUAUCUACGUGCCAGCAGCCGCGGUCAUACGUAGGAGACGAGCAUUAUCCGGAGUGACUGGGUGUAAAGAGUUGCGUAGGUGGCAUAAUAAGUAGCUGGUGAAAUCGGGUGGCUCAACCAUUCAGACUAUUAGCUAAACUGUUAAGCUCGAGACCGUUAGGGGUAACUGGAAUUUCUAGUGUAGGAGUGAAAUCCGUAGAUAUUAGAAGGAACACCAAUAGCGUAGGCAGGUUACUGGGACGGUUCUGACACUAAGGCACGAAAGCGUAGGGAGCAAACGGGAUUAGAUACCCGAGUAGUC
rnacentral:rRNA from 1 species